AUGGAUUUACACCCACAGGUGAUCUGCUGGAAUGUUCGAGGCUUGAACAAUCCAGCUAAACGCAAGGCGGUGCGGGAGUUUAUGAGUACUCUUGAGGUCAAUUUAGCUUGCUUGCAAGAAACAAAGUUGGAUGUAAUAGAUAGAUAUCUAGUGAUGCAAUGUUUGGGACCAUCAUUCGAUGGUUUUGCUUACCUGCCGGCUAUUGAGACUAGAGGGGGGGUGCUUCUUGCAUGGAAGAGUACGGUCUUGGAGGUGGAGGCCAUACAGAUCGACACUAACUUCUUGACCGGUCGGGUGCGCACUAAAACUAAUGAUCCUUGGCGGAUCUCAGUGGGUCUAUGGACCGCAGAGCGACGAGCAGAAAUGUAUCUUCUUGGAGGAGCUUAG
rnacentral:rRNA from 1 species